UGAAAAUGUAUAAAUUUGAUAAUGCAUUAAUUUUGUUGUUUUCGUUAUUUAGAAUAAAAAUUUUGCAGUGAAGUGAAGUGAAUAAUGUCUAACAUAAGCAAAGUGUUUAGUGCUCUCGAAUAUAAGUGAAAAAUACGCAACUAAAAGUGUUUGCCAUGUGUUCAUUACAAACAUUGAAUUUAUUGCUGGAGCAAAAAAUGGCUGACACUUUCAGUUUUGUGAUUUUCUUUUCGAAAUAAUUCAAAUGCUUUUGCGACAUUCAACUCACGCCACUGGAAAAUUUGUGUUCAAAAACAC